rnacentral:misc_RNA from 1 species
GAGAAGAACGCAGUGAAAUGCGAUAAGUAAUGUGAAUUGCAGAAUUCAGUGAAUCAUCGAAUCUUUGAACGCACAUUGCGCCCGCCAGCACUCUGGCGGGCAUGCCUGUUCGAGCGUCAUUUCAACCAUCAAGCCCCCAGGGGCUUGUGCUGGGGCCCUGCGGCUGCCCGCAGGCCCUGAAAACCAGUGGCGGGCUCGCUAGUCACACCGAGCGCAGUAGCACAUCUCGCUCAGGGCGUGCGGCGGGCUCCUGCCGUGAAACCCCCCACUGUAACCCCAAAGGUUGACCUCGGAUCAGGUAGGAAUACCCGCUGAACUUAAGCAUAUCAAUAAGCGGAGGA